CAGCCGCCGCGGUAAUGCAGAGGGUGCGAGCGUUAAUCGGAUUUACUGGGCGUAAAGCGUGCGUAGGCGGCUUUUUAAGUCGGAUGUGAAAUCCCUGAGCUUAACUUAGGAAUUGCAUUCGAUACUGGGAAGCUAGAGUAUGGGAGAGGAUGGUAGAAUUCCAGGUGUAGCGGUGAAAUGCGUAGAGAUCUGGAGGAAUACCGAUGGCGAAGGCAGCCAUCUGGCCUAAUACUGACGCUGAGGUACGAAAGCAUGGGGAGCAAACAGGAUUAGAGACCCCGGUAGUCCCUGUCUCUUAUAC
rnacentral:rRNA from 1 species